GCGCAUGCGCGCGGCGACCUGUGCGCUCGGGUUCUGUGCCGGCUUUUACCCCAGCUGAAUAACCUGGUGGUCACAAGAAAGCAAAGGGAUUUUUAUGUGACAUCAUCUUGGCAAGAAGCUCCCUUACCAACCUUGACCUCCAGGUCUCCAUGGCAACUGCUGCUGGGACAUCAUUGGCACCAGAUUGUGUCCCUUAAAGGCCACACUGCAGCAAGGGCAGAUAAACAAUUUCAUGGCAACAGUCACGUAGCAAUCUCAUUCUUAAAUGUGGGCUGGUUAGUUAGGAUGAUGUAAGUGGUUUUUUCCACUCUCUUCCGCAUUCUGACUCCAGAAUUCUGGGCCUAGGACAUAGUCAAAGAAUGUACCUUGGGGUAUGAGGUAAGAAAACAGGCUGGGGUGGGACUUGAAGAAGUACCUUCUUCUAGACACAGGGACAGAUUCUUUUUCCUUUCCCAGUUGAGAGUUCAUUUUCUGUCUCGGUUCAACAAAGGCAUGUUAUCUUUAUAUAAAGGAAGCUGUAAUAGACAGUCUCCAAGAUGGCAGCCUUUAGUUCUUUCCCUCCUCAGAUUCAUGAGCUGCUUCUCACCUCUUAAAUCUGGUCUACCUAUAGUGACUUGCUUGACCAACAGAAUAUGCUAGGAGCAACAUUCUGGAACUUCCAAGGCUUGGUUGUAAGAAGCUUUGCAAUAUCUGCCUGGAUCUCUUAGAACCUUCAAUAUGGGACACUUGCUCUAGAAAUCAGCCACCAUCCUGUGAGAAGUCCAAGCCACAGAGUGAGGCCAGAAAUAGUUGCUGCAGUCAAGAGCCCCAGCUGAGCUCUCAGCCAACAUUCAGCAUCACUGCCAGCCAUGUGAGUGAGUGAUGGUGACCUUGGAUGUCCAGCUCAGUAGAACCUUCAGAUGAUUUCAGCCCUAGCCGUUCCAACUGCAAGACAUCCUGAGUGAGCUGAGCCCAGUCAACAGAGAUGUGAGAGAUAAAAAUGCAUUGUUUUGAGACACUAAGUUUUAGAGUGUCUGUUGUGUAGCAGUAGGUAGUUCAAGAGGAAUGAAAUGCUAGAUGGGGUAUGGAAGAUAGGAGAGGACCUCCUGAUAGCUCAGCUACUUUGAAAGGCUUUAUUUAUCAGGAUUUUUUGCCCCUGCAUCCCACCAACACCAUCCCUGCUUUCUGAGCUGUGCCUGGCACACUGCACCACACAAACCUUGCACUGCUCACUAACUGUGCCAUGUAUAUAAGCCUCCUCAGCCCGAUGGUGGACACCUUGAAGAUAGGGACCUAUAUGAUUUGAUUCCUACCCUCCUUAGCACUGACAGAUUUGUCAAGCUGUUCCAGUGGAUAAAUACGGGGGAUAACUGCUGGAACAGCAUCUUGAGGUGUUUAUAUGGCUUGGCUUCUGAUCUUUGACAUUUGAUAACUGAUGAACAUGCUAUUUGGGCCCACCCAGGAGCCAGCCACACCAUGGGGGAGUCUGAACCUCACCCACACUGUGGCCACUCAGGGGAAGGAGACCAGGGCCAAGAACGCAGUUGCUAACCUCCUGCUUAGAUUUGCUUCUUGCGGGGCAGCCCUGGAAACCCAAAGAAGAGCUAAAACUGUGUGGAUGAGAGAAAACCUUCAGAACCCAUUCAUAGAGAUACCAGGAGCAGCUGAGAACCCAUUGUAGGAAGGACACAUGUUCAAGACCUCCCCCAUCUGCCCAUCUAGGGACAUGGAUGUUUAACAUGCUAGGGUCAGAAGUGGGAACAUAGGUCAGCUUGAGUAGAACCUGGUGCCUGUGCAGGAACCCUGCCUUCUGUGGGCCCAGCUACUCGGGAGGCCAAAGAGGGAGGAUGGCUUGGGUCUGGGAGGUCGAGGCUGCAGUGAGCUAUGUUUGCACCACUGCACUACAGCCUGGGCAACAGAGUGAGACCCUGUUUCAUAAAAAAUAAAUAAAAAUAGAAAGCCUGGCGAGCCCAGUGUCUACUCAGAGCUUAGGAGAGAGGGAGGAGAAAAGCAGGAUGAGGGCAGCUUGGGAGGCGGUCCUUCAUUCUGCCAAUAAACAUUAUUUUGUGAAUCAGGCCUGGCUUGAGGCACAGCGUAUGCAGAAAAGUUCAAGGGAGACAGAGUCCCUGCUCUCAGGUAAAAUGCCUGGAGGAGUUGUAGCUCCGAUACACAUCUCACGACAUGGGCAGAGCUUGGCUGACCAUGGGUGUAGGGGAGCUAUGGCCUUCCCUCCUCAUUAUAUCCCAGUCUUCCAACUUUGUGAAAGACCUGGAAUUCCCAUGCUAUAAGGUGGUAUGAGUGUGGGCACUAGGGCUGGGACUAGUCCAGGUCCCAGCUCCACCACUUAUUGGCUGUGUGACCUCGUGCAAGCUACUUAAACUCUCUGAACCUUUAGCAUCUUAUCAGUAAAAAUAAGAACAGUAACAGUUCUUCAUCUCAGGGUUGUCUGAGGAUUUCAUAAGAUCCUCCUGGCAAAGUGACCCCUUAGCUCCAUGUGUGGCACCUGCAGGCGCUUCGGAACCACCGGCUCCUAUCCUAUGUACUCCCACGAGGCAUGGGAGGGCUCUGGAUAUGAAAUUAUCUGCAAGGUCCAAGUAACUUUUGCUUAGAAAAAACAAAAGGGAUGAUGAGGGAAGAAGUCUCACUUAGGAACGAAAUUGCCUGGGGCCCUGUUUCCUGAGAGGAUCGCGCAGGAGUCAUAUGACAUUGGUCUGACUUUCCUGAACUGCCCACGCAUGCGCUGAGUUUCAACAGCACCGAGAACCUAGGCUUCUCUUCCUGAAACUUAGGAGAAGCUUGGGCUUCCCUCUGGCCAGUCCAGAGGUGGUUCCCAGGUAAUUGCCUGGUCCAAGAGCCACAGAGGAUUUGGAAUUAUGAGGGUAGGGAACUGCGGUUAGGGGGAUCCCAGAGUCUCAGGAAGCAUUUCAGUUCCAUCCCUUGACCCCACUUCAUGCUCUGGCAUAUCGAGGGCCCGGAAGUGCUAGGAGAGCUGUGAUUGGCAGGCCUCACUCCCUGCCCACCUUCCCUCUUAGCUUCCCCAGAACCAUAGCCCCCUUUAGACUGGGCAUAUGGGCAGAUAACAAAGGAUAUCAUGCUGGGGACGUAUUUCUGAGAGGGGGUGACUGCCCUUGCCCCUAAGUAUGAGUUGCCUUUUCCAAAUAUCCCCACAAUGUAAAGUGAUCGGCAAAGGGGACCACAGCCCUUGGUUCUACACCCAUCAAACAUGUGCUGAAAUCAGAUUCUUUUCUAAGCAACACAUCCAUAUUAUGCCACCAUUCAGACGAAACCAAGAGCUAAUCAUCCUGAGUAUGAGAUGUGUUCUCUGGUGAGAUGCCUGGACCUCCACAGGGGAGGUUGUUCUCUUGAGAAAAUGCCGACUUCCCCUCGUCUUUCAGAGGCCCCCUUCCUGACCAAAAGGCUCAAGGUGCGUGUUGGAGAGGGAAGGGAAAGAAGAUGCUUGUUGCUGUUCAUUACGGACAGGUUCCCCAAGAGUGACACCGUACUGUGGACUCAGCUUCAGGAGGAGAGAGACCAUGCCUGCAGGAAUCAAAAUGAAUCAGCACCAAUCCUGACCCAAGAUGAUAUGGGUUGACUGAAUCAGUUGUUCCUCAUCAAGUAUACUGGAAGUCAGAAUGGCUCCUCCUCCAUGAUGCCCCUGUACUUAGAGCAUCUGGCGUCUGUGAAGGGUCUAAUCCCAAGUGAGGAUUCUGCUCCUGAGACAGCCAGGACCAGACGAUUGCCAAGGUCCCUCCAGCCUAAAGGCAGUGACUCUAGAACAGAUGGGGCUGGAUGGUAACAGGGUAACUGGAGCUCAGGAAUGGAGGCCAGGUUAGAGGCAUGCUUGCCCAGUCAUUCCAGGUGCCCAGGUUCCAGGCUUAUCCCUCUUUAGGAGAGAAGUAAAGACAUGAAGAGGAACCCUCUGUGGGCCUGUGCUGACCCAUCUGCCACCCCCAACCAGAGGCAUGAGUGACAUGGGAAAGGGGAGUGGCGUUGGGGCUGCUUGGCCUGCCUCCUGCACCCCAAAGCUCUGGGUUCAAUUACACUCAUUGUCACUGUGCACAGAACCCACGUCACCACUGAGGAGAUCAGCUGGGCCCUGGCUGCUGACAGCUUGUUUUAUUCUUGCUAAGCCACUACAUCUUGGCUUUGUUGUUAUGUUUCCAAUAGCAACAGGAGAAAAGACAACUUUUUCUGCUUUGGGAGCUUAUUUUUUUCUCCCGUAGGAGAAAGCUCCAGCCUGAAGACUUGAUGUCCUUGGGGCCCCAAUGUGGCCUUAGCCCAGACCCUGGGGGCCAGUAAGGAGAAGUCCAGCUUAGCUCUGCCCCAGGGAAACAGCGGGUAGCUGAAGUCAUGGAGGAUCCAGGAGCCAGGAGCUAUCAACUCUUCUGGAAUUGGGCUCAGCUGCCCUUUUUAGUUUUGAAUGGCUACAAAAUAUCCACAGUGGCUUGGGUAGGCCUAAAGCAUAGACAGUGGAGAAAGGAAAAGGAGAGAAAAAAGGAACUUAAGAGUAGAGGAGAAAGGAGUGGGAGAGAAUGGCAAGAGAAGAAAGGUGGCUGUGGAGAAGUGCAGUGACACCAUCAGCACCCUUGGGCAUCACUUGGCAUUUGAAGCCAAAGAGGAUGACCCCACAGGCCUGGAUGAAAAAUAUAGAGGUUCUCUCUGGCAAGGGGCUUUUGCUUUCCAUUGAGAAGGAGCUGCCAUCAUGAAUGGAUGGAUGGAUGCAUGGACAGGUGGGUGGAUGGAUGAAUGAAACAAUAAGCGUGGUAUUCCCAGGAUUGAAUGAAUGAUAAAGGAAGGAAAAAUAAGUGAGAAGUGAGAGAAUCCAAUGAGGGGUUAAGCCAUCUUAGGCAGGGAUUGCCAAGGAGUGGUUUGGGAGGGCCUUGCCCCGUCCCCUCCAGUCUCCAUUGGCUUCCCCUAAAGUCUUUCUAAGUAAAUAAACAUGCAAUCUAAGUGGAAAAAUAGAGUGUUUACUAUACAAAACAGCCUGAUGAAAACCCCCUGGCUCCUGUAUCAGCCAAUAUUCCAUCCAUAGGUUCUCCUUUACAGAAACUCCCGAGCUGCCACUCAUCAACUACAAGGCAUUGUGUCUGCUUUUUCCAAAUCCCAUCCCAGACCAAUUGUAUUCAGGCUGUGGACAGACAGGUGAGGACCUGAAACAUGAUUAAAGGAUAUAGGGAAAAUAAACUUUAGAUUCACUUGAGAAUAGGAAGAGUUAAAGGGCCUUAAGCCUUUCAGUCACUCCUACUUAGGGAUUUGGGGUAUUAAUUAACAAUAGCAAAUCAUUGGGUAGAUUGUCUCUGCUCUCCCUUCAGUAAAAAAUGUCAGGUAUAGGCAUUUCUUCCUAUGCCCAGUAGGAAUAGUUCACUGGGGCCAGGAUCAAGGGUUAGGGGUCAAAGGACUAUACUCUCUAAGCCUUGAACCAAUAAUGUGAGCAGCUAGUGCAGAAGUGAGCAAGGCUCUUCUUUCAUGGAAGGUUCUUAUCAGAAACCAGAGCUGUCUGGAGGGACACAGUGAGUCAGAUUACAACAGCUACCCAUGGUGGGGACAGGUCAGAAGGGGUCACGCAGAGGCUGUAGGGAAGGUUGCUAUUCUUAGGCCCCUACUAUCUCAGGCGUCUGCUGACUCACUUGGGAAUCUCUGGACUCCUGGGUAGAUCCAGUCCAAUAACCUGCCUAGUUCUUGGGUAAGCCUGUAUUGCCUUUAAUGAUAAUAAAUAACAAGAAAAUAUAGACUUUUUCUCUAAAAGAAAGAUGCAAUAUCAUGUUUAAGCCUAUGCAAGAGGAAGGGUAAGGAGGUCUGAUUCCCAGAGAAGCAUCAAUCUUACCUCAGAUCUUGGAAAGACUCCUGGAAGGAAAGGGAGAGAGAGAGAGGCUAACCCCGGGGUAGUGGCCCUGGAGGCUUUGGUACUGAGUCACAACAUGGGUAGGGGAAAGGUACAUUAUAUUUGGGGCAAGGAUCAAGUGAAAGUCUAGGAAAAACAUCAACCUUGGAGACUGAAUAGGCUUGCCACAUUAGAAGCCUCAAAAGGGGACUUAAGUGUCCCUUUGAUUAAGGAGAAGACAGAAAAGGUGCACUAUGCAGAAAAUAACCUCCUCAGGAAGGCAAGUACGUUUAAUGGGUUUUCACAGAAAGGUGGGAGACCAUUUCAUUUUCCCUUUCUUAGGACAGGGAUCUGGGGAUGUUUGCCUGAGAGGUUAUAUGUUCGUUGUGGCCUAAUGUCUUUCAGAGUAGACUGUCACCAACUCUUUGACUCCUCCUGCUCAUGGAUUCCUUCCACCAUACCUUUGGUUUCCAUUUCUAAAUGUGCUUCAGCCUGGGGGAGGCUGCAGUAAAUGACUCUGUCUAACUUGCUUCCUUGACCUUAGGACUAACCUUUUAAAACUCAUGACUUUUCCUUCUUUAUUUAAAAUCUCUAUCUUUUAACUUUUUUUUUUCUUUUUUUUUUUGAGAUGGAGUCUCACUCUGUCACCCAGGCUGGAAUGCAGUGGUGCGAUCUCACUCACUGCAAGCUCCACCUCCCAGGUUCACGCCAUUCUCCUGCCUCAGCCUCCUGAGUAGCUGGGACUACAGGCGCCUGGAUAAUUUUUUUGUAUUUUUAGUAGAGAUGGGGUUUCACCGUGUUAGCGAGGAUGGUCUCGAUCUCUGGACCUCGUGAUCCACCCACCUCAGCCUCCCAAAGUGCUGGGAUUACAGGCGUGAGCCACCACGCCCAGCCUUUUAACUUUUUAAUUUACUCAUUCUAUUGAUUUGUCUUUCUAGUUAAAAAAUAAAAAAAUAAAUCUUCUCCAGGGAGCAUGUGUCAGGAGGGAAAAGAGUCCCUUGUGUGUUAAGCCCUACUGGCUAGGGUUAAAAGCUGAGUUGCUUGUGUGAACUUGACCUUGAGCAUGAUCCCCAAAUGAUAGUUGUCUCUACGUGAGUGGUCUUUAUCUGGCCUCCUCCUCUCUUAGCACUGACCAGGCUAUAUCUGUGGCUAAGACCUAGAGGAAAAGACUUGGGUUAGCCUGUGAAGCAGAGCAGCUGAGCUAGGAAUUCUAAGAAUGGGGGACAAAAGAAAAAAAAAGGUAGGGAAGGUGGAGGGGGCACUUCUUUCCUCAGGUCUGCUGUUAUGGUACAGCCUCCUGAAUUUGAGUUUCUCAAGUAGUCAGGGCUAGGCUCAAGUUGUCAGGGCUAGGCUAAGGGCAAACUGAGGCUAGAGUCAGUAAAGUGAUCUGCCUAUGGUCUUACAAUUACUGGGCAGUAGAUGGUUUACAUUUAGAGGCAGCAUCAACAACCCUGUAGUAUCAGUUAGAAUUCUGGUGGGGAAAAAGAGGAGAAUUUAAUGAAGGGAUUAUUUAUCAAGCUAUGGACAGGAUUUAGGGGAACUAACAAAGGAAGGUGCAAUACUUUAAGCUUAAUCACAUUGAAGAGGCAUUACCCUCCCUAAAUCCAAAGGGUCAAGAGGAAGGAAUAGUUAGGAGAAUCCACAGAGAGUACCUGUAAGGAGAGGGCCUCCCAAUAGGAUGGUGACAGUGCAACUUUUGGUAGAGGGGCAAAACUAAUUCACAGUGAUUUGACAGGAAAGGAUCUAGGGGAAUAAACAUCCUUUCUGUCUUGUAGUUUCCUGUUUGUGUCUCUUUUUGCCUGAGCACAACUAGAAACUAGAGGUCAAUGGUGCCCCAUUGAUGCAAUCUAGACAGGUUGACAGGCCAAAGGGUGGCGAGUGAAUCUGGAGAGCAAAUGUAAGAUAGCCAGCCACCUGGGAACACAGAUGAGAUUUGUUUGUAGUAAUUUCCAAAAUUUUUUGCCUCUGUCUCCAUUGCCAUACCUGUUCCUGCAUGGCUUGCAGAUGCUAGAGUUUUUCUGCUGCUUCCUUAUAUCUUGGAACCCCCAGCCAGGUUAUCAGGUCUAGUUUCUGGGCCUGCCUGCUAUCAUUCAUCAUUUCUUUAUCAAAACCUGUUCUUAAGAUUUUUGCUUCUGGCCAUGACAAAGCAACAGGAUCCAGAUUUACCCUCCCCCUGUAUCCCUUGGGAUUUGAAGCCAAAGAGGAUGACCCCGCAGGCCUGGAUGAAAAAUAUAGAGGUUGGCCUGGCCAACAUGGUGAAACCCUGUCUCUACCAAAACUAGAAAACAACAAAAUAAAUGUACUGACGGCUUCAGAUAUUGUACAACACACAGUGCAGAACUAUGACCCAUGAGAUAAAGAAAAUACAUGUGGUAAAUGAUCAUGACAGUUUCUGAUUGGAGGCACAUUCUGGACUUUACAGCAGGGGAAACAAUAUCCCAAGCACAGUAUGGUAGUCUUGUUAAGUUAAAAUACAGAAAUGAAGGUCAAGGAGACUGUAGUUGGAAACUGUGGGGCAGAAUUCUAGAAAAGAGGGGACCAUGUAAAAAAAGCUCCAGAAAUCUGCACAAGUGCCCUGUUGAGUGCUUAAUACUAAGAUGUUCAUACCCAGAGUGAAGCUUUGUAAGUCUGGGCAAAGAAUGACCAGAAGCUAUAAGCUGAAAAUUUCAGAGUUCACAUGGGAUUCUGAGAUGUAAAAAUAUCAACCAGCUUGAUCAGCUGGGGCAUUUAGUAGAGAUCCAAUGAGGUUCAUAUGCAGAUAGUAAGACUGAACUAUCCCUAGAAUAAAAGAAACGUUAGGUUCAUUCUAACAAAGCUAAAAACAAGCCUCUAAAGGAAUAAUCUUAUCCAUAAGUAACUGCCUGCUGGAUAAAAACUCAAUACUCCUUAAAGGAGGAUUUAAAAAUAUACAAACAUUCAACAAUGUAACCUUUAAAAUAUCCAACAUCUAAGCAAAAAUUACUAGACUCACCAGGUAGCAGAAAAAUGUGACCCAUAUCAGGAAAAAAGGCAAUUAAUAGAAACAUGCCUGAAAAUGACAGAGUUGAAAAGACAGAAUGAACAGACAGGCACGUUAAAACAGCUGUUUAAGUAGGCAAAAUAUACUCCAGGAUUUUAAGAAAAACAUACAUAAAAUGAGGAAAGAAUGCACUUCUUGUGGUGGAAAAGACAAUAUCUGAAAUGAAAGGUCAGUGGCUGAAAUUCAAAGCAAACUAGAUGCUACAAGGAGAAAAGUAAAACUGAAAACAGCAAUAGGAACUAUCCAAAAUGAAGCACCAAGAGGAAGAAGACUUCAAAAACAAAACAAAACAAAACAAAAAACCCAGAAAUGAACAAAGUCCCAUCAAUCCUUGAGCAAUAUCAAGUGGUCUAACAUAUGUAUAAUUGAAAAAGAAAAAAGAGGGAGAACAAAUUUUUGACAAAAAUCAAGGCUGAAAAUUUUCCAAAUUUGUUAAAAACUAUAAAUACCACAGAUCCAGGAAUCACAAUGAACCCCAAUCAAAAUAAGCAAGGGAAAUCACACCAUCAUACCAAAGUACAUCAUAAUAAAUUACUAAAAUUAGUAAUAAAGAGAAAAUCUUAAAAGUAGUCUGAAAAAAGCUGUAUUUUAUAGUGUCAUAGAGAGUAUAGGAAAUACUGCAGACUUCUGAUCAAAACAAUGCAAGCCAGAAGACAAUGGAAUACUUUCUUUGAUAUACUGAAUGAUACACAAAUCAAAUUCUGUAUCCAGCGAUAUAAUGAAGACUUUUUGAGAUAAAUGAAAGCUUAGACAAUUCACCAUCAGCAGAUCUACCCUAAAGAAAUGUUAACAUAAGUUUUUUACAAAGAAGGAAAAUAAUACUUGGAUCUACACAAAAGAAUGAAGAGCACCAGAAAUGGGAAACAUGAGGAUAAAUAUUAAAAUUUUUCAUUAAAAAUUUCUUUAAAAUAUUAAAGCAAAAAUAAUAAAGUACUGUAGAGUUCAUAACAUAUGCAGAAAUAAAAUUUAUAGCAGCAAUAGCACAAAGGACAAGAGCAUGUAGCUAAAAGUCAAUGGUCUAGAUAAAAUGAAAUAACAAAAAAGAACCCUCACUUCAAAAGAAGGCAAGGAAAGAUGCAAAAGGUAACAAAGAACAGAUGGAAUGAGUAGAAAACAAAUAGUAAGAUGACAUACCUAAACCAAACAUGUAUGUUACAUGUACUUGUAAUUAAAUGCAAAUGGUCCAAAUACCCCAAUUAAAGGUCAGGCACUAUCAGACUGGAUUUAAAAAGCAAGAAAUUCAUUUUAAAUAUAAAAACACAAAUAGUUUAAAAGUAAAAGAAUGAAAAAAGAUAUGCUGUGCAAUGCUUAUCACAAGAGAGCUGGAGUAGCUAUAUUAAUAAUAAAAAAAGAAGACUUUAGGACAAGGAAUAGCACCAGAGAUAAAGAGAGACAAUUUCAUAGUGACAAAAAGGAAAAUUUAAGCCAGGUGCAGUGGCUCACGCCUGUAAUCCCAGCACUUUGGGAGGCUGAGGCAGGCAGAUCAUGAGGUCAGGACAUCGAGACCAUCCUGGCUAACACAGUGAAACCCCAUCUCUAAUAAAAAUACAAAAAAUUAGCUGGGCGUUGUGGUGGACGCCUGUAGUCCCAGCUACUCGGGAGGCUGAAGCAGGAGAAUGGUGUGAACCCGGGAGGCAGAGCUUGCAGUGAGCAGAUAUCACGCCACUGCACUCCAGCCUGGGCGACAGAGCGAGACUCCGUCUCAAAAAAAAAAAAGAAAAAUUUAAGAAGAUUUAACAAUUCUAAAUGUUUCUGUACCUGCUAACAGAACUUCAUAAUAUAUGAAUCAAAAACUGACAAAAGUUAAAGAGGAAAUAGACAAAACCACAGUCAUAGUUUGAAUAUAUACAUUUCAUCAUUCCUCUCUCAAGAAUUAAUAAAACAAAUAGUCAGAAAAAUCAGUAAACCAGUAAGGAUACAGAUGAUCCCAGCACUUUGGGAGGCCAAGGCGGGUGGAUCACAAGGUCAAGAGAUCGAGACCAUCUUGGCCAACAUGGUGAAAUCCCAUCUCUACCAAAAAUACAAAAAUUAGCUGGGCCUGGUGGCAUGCAGCUGUAGUCCCAGCUACUUGGGAGGCUGAGGCAGGAGAAUCGCUUGAACCCAGGAGGCGGAGGUUGCAGUGAGCUGAGAUCAUGCCAGUGCACUCCAAGAAAGCUAGGUCAAUUGCUCAUAUGACUAGCAUUUCUACUCCUAGGUAUGUACCCAAGAGUAUUGAAAAUCCAUGUCCACACACACUGUAUAUGAAUGUUCAUAGCAGCAUUAUUCAUUUUAGCCAGAAAGUGGAAACAACUCAAAUGUGCAUCAACUGAUGAACAGAUAAACAAAAUGUGGUUUAUCCAUACCAUGGAAUAUUAUUCAGCUAUGAAAACAAAUGACAUUCCAAUACAUGCUACAACAUGGAUGAACCUUGAAAACACUAUGCUCACUGAAAGAAGCCAAACACAAAAGGUCACAUAUUGUAUAAUUCCAUUUAUAUGAAAUGUCCAGAAUAAGCAAAUCCAUAGAGAUGGAUAGUAGAAUAGUGGUUGCCAGAGGAAAGGGGAAGGAGGAAUGGGGAGUGACUGCCAAUGCAUAUGGAGACUCUUUUGGGGGUGAUGAAAAUAUUCGGAACUAGAUAAUGGUGAUAAUUGCACAAUUUUGUGAAUAUACUAAAAAUCAUGGAAUUGUACACUUUAAGAGGGUGAAUUUUAUGGUAUGUCAAUUAUAUCUCAAUUAAAAAAAUAAGUAUUUGGUAUAAAUGAUUUUAUGCCCCAGUGUUGAUAAUGGAUAAAGGCUUAAUGAGAGACUCUUCUCAGCAAUAUGGUUCAACUCAGACCAACUCCUCCCUACAAAGGCUACAGAAUCUAUUUUUUCAAAAAGUCCAGCUCUUAGGACCUUUGUUCUUAGCUGUGGUUGCUACCAGGCUGCCUCUGAGGCCUGAAAAAUCGUGUCAUAGGCAGUAGAGGUUGAAUUUUGUAUUUUAGUAUCUAUGCUUACUUUCCUGCAGUAUGAGUUCUUUAAAGUCUAUUGCUAACUUGCACUCAUAGGCUGAAUUGAAAGAAUAAAGGAUCACAGUGAGGCACUUUACAGUUUAUAAAAAAGCAUGUUCACAUUCACCACUCUUUUGAUUUUACGCAUUUAGAUUUAAAUUGGGCGUUCUGAAUGGCCACACAACAGCAGGCCCUAAACUCUAGCCCCAACCUCUCUGACUCCAAAAAUCGAGUCAUUCUUAAAACAACUAAAAUGUGCUUCUGAGCAAGUUAUGGAGAAAUGGGCUGCCACUCGCCCUCCCAAGAAUAUUAUGAAGGCUCUUAGCCAUUUAAGG
rnacentral:lncRNA from 1 species